UUGCUCACAGGAACGUAGUGUGGCUAUGUGGAUGCUUGGAACCAACCAUCAAGGAAUCCUCAUGGGGGAGCUGGCGGAAGAACCCGAGGUCCUGAGGAGGAUUGCAACCCCAUAGGACGAACAACAUAGGCUGGCCGGACCACCCAGUGCUCCCACGGACUAGACCACCCACCAAGGAACGUACAGGAAGGGAUCCAUGGCUCCAGAUACAUAUGUAGCAGAGGAUGGCCUUGUCAGACAUCAAUGGGACAGGAGGCCCUUGGUCCUGUGGAAGUUGGAUGCCGCAGUAUGGGAGGACACUGUGGGGGUUGGGCAGGAGAGGGAGCGCCCUCAUCUAGGCAAAUGGGAUGGAGCUGAGAGAGGUUGUGGAGCGGGGGGCUUGUAGAAGGGUAACCAGGAAGUGUGAUAUCAUUUGAGAAGUGAACAUAUGGAAUGACAAAUAAAUAAAUAAAUAUUAAAAAAAGUGAAUUCAAA
rnacentral:lncRNA from 1 species